AUUGAACGCUGGCGGCAGGCCUAACACAUGCAAGUCGAGCGAGCGGCGGACGGGUGAGUAAUGUCUGGGGAUCUGCCCGAUAGAGGGGGAUAACUACUGGAAACGGUGGCUCAUACCGCAUACUAUCGGGUGACCCCCUAUGGGAUUAGCUAGUAGGUGGGGUAAAGGCUCACCUAGGCGACGAUCUCUAGCUGGGCUGAGAGGAUGAUCAGCCACACUGGGACUGAGAACAGGACCCGACUCCUACGGGAUGCAGCAGUGGGGAAUAUUGCACAAUGGGAGCAAGCCUGAUGCAGCCAUGCCGCGUGUAUGAAGAAGGCCUUAGGGUUGUAAAGUACUUUCAGCGGGGAGGCGUUACCCGCAGAAGAAGCACCGGCUAACUCAGUGCCAGCAGCCGCGGUAAUAC
rnacentral:rRNA from 1 species